rnacentral:rRNA from 1 species
CUACGUGCCAGCAGCCGCGGUAAUACGGAGGGUGCGAGCGUUAAUCGGAAUAACUGGGCGUAAAGGGCACGCAGGCGGCUAUUUAAGUGAGGUGUGAAAUCCCCGGGCUUAACCUGGGAAUUGCAUUUCAGACUGGGUAGCUAGAGUACUUUAGGGAGGGGUAGAAUUCCACGUGUAGCGGUGAAAUGCGUAGAGAUGUGGAGGAAUACCGAAGGCGAAGGCAGCCCCUUGGGAAUGUACUGACGCUCAUGUGCGAAAGCGUGGGGAGCAAACAGGAUUAGAUACCCUGGUAGUCCACGCCCUAAACGAUGUCAAUUAGCUGUUGGGCAACUUGAUUGCUUAGUAGCGUAGCUAACGCGUGAAAUUGACCGCCUGGGGAGUACGGUCGCAAGAUUAAAACUCAAAGGAAUUGACGGGGACCCGCACAAGCGGUGGAUGAUGUGGAUUAAUUCGAUGCAACGCGAAGAACCUUACCUGGUCUUGACAU